rnacentral:lncRNA from 1 species
CCAUGCUUCCGGAUCUGCAACGAUGAUGCCCAAAUCAUUGAUCGAAUCUGCAAUUGAUUGAAAUCAACCUUUCAAAAUGAACCAAACGAACACCGCAACAAGACGGACAAACAAACGCCGUAACAAUGACGACCACCAACAAAGCGCCGCACUCAGACGACGAAAUCACAAAACAAGAAAAACAAAACUAAAAAACUUAAUUUAUGUGAAAUCACUUAUUUAAAUGGAAAGAAAAUAAAAAACAACUUAGAGGGGUGAUUUUGGGUCAAAAAUUGACCCAAAAACCACCCCUCCUUGGUGGAUGAUGAAGAAGAAAAGCAAAAUAGGGUUAGAAGAGAGGGGGAGCGGCGGCUGUU